UCUGCCUCUUCUCUGGCUGUAUGUUCUUUCCCAGGUUGUUGACUUCUGUUGGAGGCCACCAUCCCCUCACCUCUGCGUUUGGGCAUUGCUUGUCUAAGGGCUCUGAGAUAUUUGGAAUGUUCUGGCAAUCCUGCCCUUGAGGAGCUCUGCCCAACGGGCCCACAUAAUCCCUGGGGGUAACUGGGAAGUUCCCUUCUCUGCCAUGGUUAUCACACACACUUCCUGCUUUGAAAGCCUCCUCGAGUUAGGAAAAUUCUCUAUUCCUACCUCUACCCCAAAAAGCUUGGCACUUCAUUCCAUGGCUCUAGAAUGGACUGGGUUCCAAGCUCCUCAGAGAUACCGCUGUUGGUCCAGGGACAAUAGGUCAGGGCUGUGGUUGCCAGCAUUGUCUCUGUCAGACGUGGCCUCCCCCAGUCCUGGUGCCACCACUGGUCUGGUUGGGACAAGGGGCUACAUCCUAUGAUUUCCUCGUGGGUCACGUGGCUGUAAUGGUGCCCCACACCUCACAGUGUUGUGCAGAUGAAGAUAACCCAACUGCUCACUUAGCAUCGGUUGUGCUUCCUGGCAUGAUGUACAUUGACAGAAUGAUAUUUUUUCUUUAAUUGUGUAACACAAUAUGCAGAAGGCUGCAUAAAACAUAAAAGUAUGGCUAUAAGUUAACAUAGCCCCCACCUAGAUCAAUACCUAGAACGUACGAGGCUUCCAGAAGCUUCCCAGAUGCCUCUUCCUUGUCACAUCUCCCUCCUUGGCCUUAGCAGUAACCUCAAUCUUAUCUUCGUGAUGUUUCAUUCUUUGUUCACGUAUUUUAUAAUUUUGUUUAUUACACACUCCUCACAGGUCUGGAUUUUAAUCUGUAAUCAUAUAGCAUAUAUUCUCUCAUGCCUGGCUUUGUUCACUAAGAAUUAUGGAUUUAACAAUCAUCAGUGAUUCUUCCAUUGUGGUUGCUAAUGCAAUAGACCACAAUUUAGUUAUCCAUUCUAUUGAUGGUGGACAUUUUGGUUGUUUACAGUCUGUGGAUCUUUCACACAACAAGGCUAUGGUCCUUCUUGUGCAGGUGUCCUGGGCAAGGUAGAUUACACAACAAAGAGUGGAAUUCUGGGGUCCUGUGUUAUGCCUACCCAAGACUUCUGAGGAAGAAAAGAAAAAAGAAAAGAAAAUGUAUAAAGCAAAGCAUGCAGAUUAUCCAAUUCAUAUGAAUGGAAUAAAACAAAACUGAAUGCAUAUCCAACUGGAAUGAACUGGGAUGGCUGGAUUCAGUUCAGCAGGGGGACCCAUGACUGCAUGAGGAGACCUGGCCCACACUUCCUUUUCUCCUGGGAGGUGUUUAUGCCUUGGACUCUCCAGAACUACAAGACAAGGG